UGCCAAGAAGCGCAAAAGAAAGGCCUG
rnacentral:piRNA from 1 species